AUUAUGUGUUACAAAUAUAAAAUUAUUAUUAUUAUAUGCAUGUGAAAUAUAGAUGAUUAUAUGUAAUGAUAUAAUCGGGGUGCAGAGCAGAACAUGAAACCUACUUCUACUUCAGAAAACCUGUUUAUUCUGUUCUCUUCACAGGAGAGUGUGGCUCUUUCAUUUACAUCUCAACUGUAAAAACAAAUUCCAGGCUCUUGGUUCAAAAGCUCAGGAACACUCUGCUCUAUGAGCAGAAAGUCUGCCUCUUCUUGGACAGGAACCUUGGACAAAUCAUCUCCCUGCAUGCUGCGACCUUCCCAGUGAUGAGAUAAGGAUCAUAAUUUUGAUUUAUAUCACACAUGGAUUCUCAACAGGAGUUCAAAAUACUUUUCUGUUCUAUAUCAAGCACUAAAGUAGUGCUGUGGGCUCCAAAACAACCUCUCCUUCCCUUCUUUCUCCUACUUUCUGCUCCACACAAAAAUCCAAAAAGGAGACUGCAAAACUACUUGCCUAAAGAAAUGAAAUAACAGCGAGCAUUUGCCAAAGCACUCCCACCACUUGAAGCAGUUUGUUUUGCAGAACACUCACUGCCACACUUCUGAGUGAGAAAGAAGCAACAGGAGAGCAAAAUCUUUCCUUUAAUCAUUUCUGAAGAGCUUAUCAUAGUAGCACUGAGAUAUUCAUAGCCCUUUGGUUUCUUGCUGAAUGGAAGUGGAAAAAAGAAUCCAUCUUUCCUUUAAAACCCAAAUGAACAAAAUGGGAAGUUUGAACAAACCUAGAAAAUUAAGAGCUGCUUCUACAGUCAUCACUGAUUUCAGCAGGAACUGAAGAUGCUGAGAGAAAUCCCUGACAACAAAUACCUGUUGAAAAAUUGCCAAAAUAUUUAAAAACAUUACAUUGUUAACAAAAGUGAAAAUUAAGAUUAGAAAAUCAUGCUUGCAAACACUGAGGGGCUAUAGGAAGUGAAGUUCAAACAACAGCCCAGUGCUAAAUUCUAAAUUGCCAAACCACAGAAAAUUCAUCAACAGCAAAAUAAAAGAAUCUUUGAAAGCUUUAUUAAAUAAUUC
rnacentral:lncRNA from 1 species